AUAAUAUUUAUUAACUCGAUUUAUCAUGGCAUUAUAUAUCAAAUACGUGUCAUACCAUAAUUUAGAAAUAAAAUACAUUUAAAGAUUUAUGGGACGAGUGGCUCAGCAGAACCCUAACCCAAAACGCUAAUAGCCUUUCAGCUCUCUUAUUCUAAUAGGUCUGGCGCCUAGAGAGCGAAGCUCAACUAGGAUCCUUACAUCCAGCCUGGACACUUGUUCCCCAAUUAAGCAGGUGCCGAGAGAGCAUUGCUCGACCAGAGACCUUUCUCCGGCAGCAAACUUUUAUAACCUAGAGAGUUAUAAUCGACCAGGGCAAAAUCCACAAAUAACCUUUGUUACAUGUUUCUGAUUAUUACUGAUGCGCACGCAGUCUUGAUGCAACCCGUCAUGUGGCAUGUUCUACAGUCACCUCAUCUCACAGUCAUAAUCAUAACAUAUAUAUAAAAAGAAAUCAUAAAUAUACUAUUCAUAGGUAACACAAUUUAUUUGAUUACAUAUUGAGAAAUAGAGUUUAGUAAUAUCGGGUAAAGCAAACAUGCAAAAUAUCUAUAGAGAUAAUAAUAAUAGUAUUUAAAUAACAUUAUUAAAAUAUCGUAAAUAAUGAUAAUGAUACUCAUACAUAACAUUAAACAUUAAAUAUUGAAUGAAAUCUAGACAUGCCAAAGUACAAUUAUUAUAUGACUUUAACUCACAGUUCUGUCGCGCUCUGCAGUCUGCUCUAACGCCUCGGGUGGAGCUGGCGGGAUGGACGAAUUAUUAUUCACUAAAAAACUCGGUUAAUAGACAUUCUUAAAUUUUCGUAGGCCUAGACCUCUAGAUUAGGCUGCCUAAAAUUAUUUUAGACUCGAGAAUUCUGUCGAAAAUUCGGCAGAGCCUCCCCUAAAUUAUGGACAUUUACUCCCCUUACAACGGGUCCAGAACUUGCUAGAAACACUUCAAAUAUUCUGCGAUUAAUUUAACGGGAGUCAGGCCACCAAAACUGCAUUAUGUUUCUUGACUCCGCAACAUAACACAAUCACAAUUAAUUAAAUCCAACUAAUUUUUAAAUUAUCCAUCAUUGAUAAUUAAUAGCCAUAAUAUUUUUCUAGAAUUACAACAUAAUUUAUAGGGUCUAAAUAAAAUUAUACCGAGUCGAAAUUGUAAUAUUUCGCGUGUCCGGAAAGUACCAUGGUCCAGAAGCCGGUCCUACCAACAGUGUCAAAAUUUGAAUCCAGAAGCGCCUAUGUGAAGCUUGAGUUGUAGGAGUCCGAAAACAUGACAGUUUCGGCCGGAAACUCACCGGAAGGCACCAGAUUGGGGCCGGAAAGGUUCUACUCCAGUGAAGCCCCUCUAAAGCUGCCGGUGGAGGAAAUCAAUGAGGAGACUUGCUUUGGGGUGAUGAGGAGUCCGAAUCCAGCAUCGGAUUGCCGAAAGGAUGUCGGCAGGAGCCCGAAUCGACGACGGCAGCCUCUUUCGUCCUUCGUCGGCGUCGCGCGGAAGGGAGGGAGAAGGUUUGAAGGCUGUGCAGCAGCGGGAGGAAGGAAAAGAAAGAUGCGCGGCGGUGGCAACAGCUCGACGACACGUAGGUGGGCGGGGGAGAGGGCAAUUGGCAAGGAGAAGGGAAAAGGGGGAGGGGAAGGAGGAAGGGGAAGAAAGGAAAAGAAGGAGAGGGGGGAAAAGGGAAGGAAAGAA
rnacentral:lncRNA from 1 species